rnacentral:rRNA from 1 species
AGGAUGCCCCGGCUAACUAGGUGCCAGCAGCCGCGGUAAUACGUAGGGGGCAAGCGUUAUCCGGAAUUACUGGGCGUAAAGGGUGCGUAGGUGGUCUGUCAAGUCAGAGGUCAAAGGCCACGGCUCAACCGUUGUAAGCCCUUGAAACUGGAGGACUUGAGUUCAGGAGAGGAAAGCGGAAUUCCUAGUGUAGCGGUGAAAUGCGUAGAUAUUAGGAGGAACACCAGUGGCGAAGGCGGCUUUCUGGACUGAUACUGACACUGAGGCACGAAAGCGUGGGGAGCAAACAGGAUUAGAUACCCUGGUAGUCCACGCCGUAAACGAUGAGUACUAGGUGUUGGCCCU